CACGCCGUAAACGAUGAAUACUAGGUGUGGGAGGUAUCGACUCCUUCCGUGCCGUCGUAAACACAAUAAGUAUUCCGCCUGGGGAGUACGAUCGCAAGAUUAAAACUCAAAGGAAUUGACGGGGGCCCGCACAAGCAGCGGAGCAUGUGGUUUAAUUCGAAGCAACGCGAAGAACCUUACCUGGACUUGACAUCGUCUGAAUAUCUAAGAGAUUAGAGAAGCCCUUCGGGGCAGAUAGACAGGUGG
rnacentral:rRNA from 1 species